GGAAGGAGUCAGUACUGUGAGGAGCUGCCCAUGAGAAAUUAUGAAGAAGGUAUGGAACUUUUACAAAUAAGAUGACAACAAGUAUCAAAGAAAAAGGCACAAGUAGUGGAACAGAAAGUAAUCUACCUGGGAUACAAAGUCAGUGCUGGGCAACAGACUUUAGGGCAGGCUUGCAAAAACCACAUGCCAAACCCUGAAACUCCAGACAGCAAAGGAACUCCGAACCUUCUUAAGCAUGGCAGGGUGGUGCUGGCUGUUGGUUUAUAAUUACGGACUGUACAUCAUAUAGAGAUCUCCAGUGGACAAAGGAAGCCACGUGAGCCUUUCACCAGCUAAAGAGUGCCCUCAUGUCAGCUCCAGCUUUGAGACUUCCAGAUCUUCUUUUCUCAGUGGAAAUCAAGGAGAAGCAGUGCACCAUGGUUGCAUGGAGACCCUUGAAGCUACUUACUCCAGCUGCUCAGCCUUGAAGAACGCUCCUUUGGACAAUGCAGAGACUUAGCUGAUUGCACUGACCCGUGCCUUGGAAAUGGCAAAAGGAAAGAGAAUAAACAUCUAUACAGACUUGAGUCUCUUACAGAAAAGGCUUUGGAACCACAGUGGGAGAGACCAUUCCAGGUGCUUCUCACCACCUUCACCACAAUCAAGAUCAAGGAGCAGCAUGCCUGGAUCCACCACUCUUGAGUGAAGAAGGCCCCAGAAGCCCCUUGGAGAGUAACACCAGGAAACAAUGAACUGAGACUAAAGCUUACUCAGGCAAAAUGAGUAUAUUGCAGCUGGGGGUAAUUUGUAAUUUUAUUUACAGAAUUGUUUUGUAUAUAAUUAUAACUGGAGUCUUAGAAUUUGAGAGUACCUCUAUCCAAAGCAAUGCUGAAUGGCCUUGGUCCCAAGCUUUUAAUCAGUAUGCUGGAUCCAUGGGAGAACCUUCUGAGAUAAAAGAUUUAAACCUGUCCAGUGUGGCAAUCCAUGGGAAUCAGGUAUAUGAGGAGCAGGAGUAGCAGGAACUGUGGACACUUCAAGGGAUCAGAGAAGAAGAAAUCAAGGUAAUGUGCUGAGUGGUCAAUGGGAUUGCUCAUGAGAGUUCAGAUGCAAUUAGUGUCUUAACCUCUCCUGUAUACAAACACCAGGAAGAAUGUGGAUGAACAACAACUGUUGUUCAAUCCAGAAUGGUCUCUCAAACGUGUUGAAUUGCCAAUGCAAAUUAACAACUCAAAAAUCUAACCAGCCUGCUCCUCUUUGCUAAGAAAUCCUUUGAGAGCUAGACAAUGUAGUUACAAAGACAAGUAUACUUCAGAAGCAGAAGAAGAAAAGAUCUAACUGGAAUAUUAAAGACAGGAUUGGGAGUUUUAAAUGGAAUUGAUUCAGAAAUACUGAUGAAUAAGCUGGCCACUACAGCAGGUGGCCUAGCAAAAUUGAAGCGGCCUUUACAGUCAUAUCUAUUGGCAUUAGGAACUGGUCAGUGGCAGAUUUCAAAAGUAUUGCCAAAGUGGGAAAAGACUGGGGACCAAGACCACAAGCUAAUACUAGAAGCGCUUAGUACAAUUCAAGAUAAUGUGUUUUUAGCUUUCAGUUGUAUGCAAGCACAUAUGGAUGUAGGCAGCAGCAGCUUUUAUCAUAUGGGAAGGGGGUGAAGGUAAUUUUCCAGAAAUUCAGAAGGUUGUCUGGGAUAAUGCGAUUUAUUUUGAAAGGAAGUUUCAAUCCUGGUGGACUAUGGUAAAUUUCACCUAUGAUCCUGCUUCUAAUGUGGCCACUGCCUUUGUGCUUACCAUACGUGAUAAUGCCACUCUUUAUAUUAUCCACCCCAUCGUUGCACUAGGAUUAAAUAAUGAAAAAACGGUGCUCUACCCUUAAGAACAUAGGGUGUGGGCACGAAAGGUGAAUGAAAAGUGGCAAACAGUAAACUUAGAAUCUUGUAUUACUAGGGAACAACUAGGACUCAUUUUUGAAGGCAACACUAUUAAUGCUCAAGAUGUGUGUCCAGACACUGAACAAAGUAUUUGCCACUUUGAGGUUCAUCCGGUCACUGAUCAGAAAACUGUGCUCGUAUAUACUAGUAAAGGUUCUGUGUGCUUGAGAACUGUUUGUGCUAUUGUAAAAAU